CCUACGGGUGGCAGCAGUGGGGAAUAUUGCACAAUGGACGAAAGUCUGAUGCAGCAACGCAGCGUGAGCGAUGAAGGCCUUCGGGUCUGAAAGCCCUGUCCUCAAGGAAGAUACUGACGGUACUUGUGGAGGAAGCCACGGCUAACGACGUGCCAGCAGCCGCGGUAAUACGUAGGGGGCUAGCGGUAUCCGGAAUUAAUGGGCGUAAAGGGUGCGUAGGUGGUCUCUUAAGUCAGAGGUGAAAGGGUACGGCUCAACCGUAGUAAGCCUUUGAAACUGGGCAACUUGAGUGCAGGAGAGGAAAGUGGAAUUCCUAGUGUAGCGGUGAAAUGCGUAGAUAUUAGGAGGAACACCAGUUGCGAAGGCAGCUUUCUGGACUGUAACUGACACUGAGGCACGAAAGCGUGGGGAGCAAACAGGAUUAGAUACCCGAGUAGUC
rnacentral:rRNA from 1 species